AGAGAGAGAGAGAGAGAGAGAGAGAGAGGGAGGGAAUUACCUGCGUCUGUUCCACAUCUUUACUAAUGAUAACUAAUAAGCUGUGAGUUUAACUGUAUGUUGCUAUGGUUACAGUUAUUUAUAGGCAGCGCAUUAAUUUAGAAUGGUGAUUAAACUGACUGGAACUACCUGUGGUAUAUACGGUUUUAACGCACACCUUCCAGCCAAUCAGAAUCAAGAUUCCAUGUAGAAGGAAUUAUUUAUAAUCGCACUAUCCGGUGUGACCCAGAUGAGGAUAGGUUCAAAAGGCUUGCAGUGUUUUCUUAUAUCCGCAUGCCUUUAAUGUAGGAUAGUCAAGAAGAACCUGUUUUUUCUAGGACUGCGUGUAUGGGGAUGGCCGUGGUGGAGGAUCCCGGAAACAUAGCGUGCAAGUGCGUGAGCAAUCAAUCCACCCACAUGUUCUUUUAGGAUGUGGAAAGAAACUGAAAGAACCUCACAUGGACAUGCGCUUUCAUGCUCAUGCUCAGUGUUUGCUUUAUUAAAGGCAAUCGAUGAAUCAUAAUCAAAGCUCCUGGUGUGGCUCAAUAAACAGGAAGGCAUCGUAAAAGAAGCAGGAGCUACAAUCAAAAACUGAUAGGAAAACCGGAAGAAACCAGGAAAAGGAACGCUCAGAAACGCAUACAGUACAACAAGAUUUCGCAACCAUGAACGGAGACGGAUUAAGGGCUGAACACAGAAAAGGUGCACACUUUAGCCAUACGAUCCUGCAGAACGCUACGGAAGUGGACUAGAAGUGCAGCGGAGAGGUGAUGCGUCUUGGACAGCGAUGAAGGACUAGGGAAUACCUUCAUGUUCACGCUACACAUGCGAUGACGUGUCCAUAUCCAUCCCAGACCUCCUCUGAAUGUGGUUUGAGUGAUUGGCUCACUAGGCGUCCUCGAGACACCUUAUACCUAUACUAAGCUCUAUUUGUUUAUUUGUUUAUUUAUUUAUUUAACAGAUCACCCAAGAUGCAUGUUAAAGC